AACCUUUUUGAUUUGGAAAUAUUUCUGGCAAAAUUAAAUUCGUGUCGCAUAUGAUGCUGCCCUCCCACUGCCGGAUUUGGAAUGUUAGAAGCAGAAUGGUUAUGUUGGAAACGAUUCGAAUGUUUACGAACUUCGAAGACAAAGGCAAAGCCGAAGAAAACAUUUACUUCUUGAAAGAGCAAAGAGAAAAGCUGCGUUUAUUGCGUAAAAAAAUGCUGGAAGUGGAGGGUAGGCUGGAUGAAAGUAUCGAAGCUCUCGAGAAAGCCGUAAAAAUUACGAAAACCAUAAAAAAAGAUGAAACGAAAAAAAAAUAACAUGCAAUUGAAAUCGUCGUAACUAAUAAUGUGACACCAGUUAUUUUUAAAAAAUGCCGCGAAAUACGAAACCAAAAAGUUUUCCAAAUUUUUAUGUGAAUAGUAGAAAAAGUUGUUGUACUUGUAACGCUCA